AGAGCUUCUUUCCCGCAACGGUGUGAAGUUCGGAGAAGCAGUAUGGUUCAAAGCCGGUUCUCAGAUUUUCAGCGAAGGUGGACUCGACUACUUAGGAAACCCAAGUUUGAUCCACGCCCAAAGCAUUCUAGCCAUUUGGGCCUCCCAAGUUGUUCUCAUGGGGGCCGUCGAGGGAUACCGUAUUGCCGGUGGUCCACUAGGGGAGGUGACCGAUCCCAUCUACCCAGGCGGGAGCUUUGACCCAUUGGGACUUGCAGAUGACCCGGAAGCCUUUGCAGAGCUGAAAGUGAAGGAGCUGAAGAAUGGAAGAUUAGCUAUGUUCUCCAUGUUUGGAUUCUUCGUUCAAGCUAUUGUCACUGG
rnacentral:lncRNA from 1 species